rnacentral:rRNA from 1 species
UAAUUGAAGAGUUUGAUCAUGGCUCAGAUUGAACGCUGGCGGCAGGCCUAACACAUGCAAGUCGAGCGGUAACAGGGGAAGCUUGCUUCUCGCUGACGAGCGGCGGACGGGUGAGUAAUGUAUGGGGAUCUGCCCGAUAGAGGGGGAUAAC